AGCACUUAUUGCCUCACAUCACCUCGCUAGGGCUGGGGUGGUGCUGCCCUUCCAGCCACCCAGCUGCCUUGGGCCAUUAAACCCUCAUGGAAGCAGAGAUGAAGGAUGGUGUCUGGCUACUUGCAGCACUCAGGCCCCGAGGAGUACUUCUGCGUGCAGCUUCUGGCGUGUUCUUCAUUGCGGCCCAUGACGAGUUCUUCAUCGUUCAGCUUCUUGGGAUCCACGUUUCUACUUUAGGAGAGCUUCAUCGUCCAGCUUUUGGUGUUUCUCCACUGCAGCCUCUGAGGAGUGCCUUCUUGAGCAGCUUUUGGUGUUUUCUUUACUACGUCACUGAGGAGCUCUUCAUCGUGCAGCUUUUGGGGGUUUUCCCCACACCACGUUUCCCCUGAGGAGGGCUUCACUAUUCAGCUCGUCGUGUUUUCUUCACUGUGGCGCUUGAGGAGAAAUGCUUCGUGGAGCUUUUUGGGGUUUCUUCUCCCUGUGGCCCCUGAAGUGUGCUUCCGCGUGCAGCUUUUGGUGUGUUCUUCACUACAGUCCUGAGGAGUUCUUCAUCGUGCAGCUUUUCUGGUUCUCUUCACUUCGGCCAUUGAGGAUUGCUUCGUCGAGCAGCAUUUGGUAUUUUCUUCAUUGCAGCCCUGGAGGAGUUCUGCACCAGCCAGCCUUUGGGGUUCUUCACCAUGUUUUCCCUGAGGAGAGCUUCAUCAUGCCAAUGCUGGUGUUGUUUUCACCUUCCAGUCCCUGAGAGGUGCUUCAUCUUCUAACAUUUGGUGGGGUUUCUUUCUCAUUCAAGAUCCCGAGGUGUCCUUCUGCAUGCAGCUUCUGGUGUAUUCUUCAUUGUCGUCCACGAGGAGUUCUUCAUAGUUCAGCUUUUCAGGAUCUCUUCACCAUGUUUCCUCUUAGGAGAGCUUCAUUGUCCAGCUUUUGGCGUUUCUCCACUGCAGCCUCUGAGGAGUGCCUUCUUGAGCAGCUUUUGAUGUUUUCUUCACUACGUCGCUGAGGAGCUCUUCAUCGUGCAGCUUUUGGUGUUUUCUACAAUGAGGCGCUUUUUGGCAUCUACCGUGUCUGCAGCCAGACCGACAGCUCCGUGCCUGAUGUGUGAAGAAGCACAUUCUUCUGUUUGUUUUCAAUCUGCCAACCGAUCAUUUCACGUAGAGCUGUCUUUUUUGUACUAGGAGGUGCCAUGUUGUGUCAUGCUGUUAUAAAUCUCUUUCAAACCA